GUGCUUGCUUCAGCAGCACAUAUGCUAAAACUGGAACAAUACAGAGAAGAUUAGCAUGGCCCCUGUGUAAGGAUGACGCAUAAAUUCGUGAAGCAUUCCAUAUUAAA